AACGCAAGUUGCGCCCGAGGCUUGACCAAGGGCAUCUCUGCCAGAGCGUCACCGCGACACCCACCGAUCCACUCCAAGUGAGAGUGGAUCGAGUGAAACUGGCCAUCCGAAUGUGGCCACCCGGGGAGGGGGGGAACUUCCUUCCUGGGUGGCAGAUUGGGUUGGCUGAAAUGGAGGGAAUUCGGCCGCCGUGGUGACACAGCCCGCGAUCAGGUGAUCCAGGUGUUCAAAGACCCGGAACUCAAACGUGCGCGUGGCUCGUGGCACCACCCAGACCGGACUCCAAAGCAGGCCCCUACCGACACUCCGGCCGCGAAAGCCGGACGAUGGAGGUAAAAGUUCACGUCACGCAUCAGACCUCUGAUCAGAGAAGACUACCCGCUGAGUUUAA
rnacentral:misc_RNA from 1 species